rnacentral:lncRNA from 1 species
GACAUCACACAUAUUAUCUAAGUCCCACAUCGGAAGUUUUAUAGUGAAUGUUAUGGAGCAUGAGUUAUAAAAGAGAAUUGUGUGAUUCAUUGCAACAUACUUACCUGGAUGGGGUCAAUGGGUGAUCAAAAAGGCCCAUGGCCUAGGCAAGUGACCUUCAUUGCACUUUGAAGGGGUGCUAGCCUAAGGUCUACCCAAGUGGUGGAGCCUACAUCAUAAUAUGUUGUGGUUGGGGCUUGCGUUCGCGCGGCCCCUCC